rnacentral:ncRNA from 1 species
UUCUUCAGGGUUGGGUGAGAUUCCCUACUGGCGGUAAAGUCCGCGACCCGAAGAUGCGUAAGGCAGCCCGGCUUGAUGGUUAUUUUGAGACGGGUAAUGGUGUCUGAGCUCUUUGGCUGACCCGGUGUGACUCCGGGACCAACAGUAAAGUCUGGAUGAAAGAAGAA